rnacentral:rRNA from 1 species
UACGUAGGGUGCGAGCGUUGUCCGGAAUUAUUGGGCGUAAAGAGCUCGUAGGCGGUUUGUCGCGUCUGCUGUGAAAACCCGAGGCUCAACCUCGGGCCUGCAGUGGGUACGGGCAGACUAGAGUGCGGUAGGGGAGAUUGGAAUUCCUGGUGUAGCGGUGGAAUGCGCAGAUAUCAGGGAGGAACACCAAUGGCGAAGGCAGCGCCCUGGACGACACCUGACGCUGAGGCACGAAAGCGUGGGUAGCAAACAGG